CUAAAGGGUGGAAACUUGCAGCCCCACGUUCCCCUUUGGGAUGUGCAGGAAUGGAGAAACAGCUUCAUGAAACUUUGUACCACUUGACAGUGGCCAGAGACAGGAAAGGAAGGCACAGAGUGCCAGAUAAUCUGGAGACUUUUUCCUUAGCAAAACGGAUGUGGUUGGAUUGCAUGACAUUAAUCUGCCUUGUUAGGCCGAGGAGGAGGGUUUUCCAUGGGCCUGGGACUUUCAGUGCUAAAACCGGGACAGUCCUGGGUAAAUUAGGGACUUGGGAUAAUGAAACAGAUUUAGGAGACCCCUCAAGGCUCUAGAUUGUUUGGGAAGUAAGGGAUCAUCUAAUGUAGUGCUCUUAAAAUUGGUUUCACAGAAGACCAGCCUCCCUUCUUUUGGAUGCAUAAUGUUAGGCAUCAUUUUAGAAAUAGGCUGAUGAAGCAGAGAUGCCCUUUUCAAAGCAGGGUGGGCAUGUGGAUGUUCCAGAAAGUCUCGAGUUAGCCUAGCCACCACCCCAUUUCAUGGAGAGAAGCUGAGGCCAGGAGACAUCAGAGACUUGGGCACCACACCUAGUUUAUGACAGGCCUGGGACCGCAUCUCCAGGUUUUAGAGUUUUGAGUUGACUUCAGCCCAUUACCAUUAUCCCUCAAAGUGUGAGCAGUGUACUCUUGAAUCAGAAUCACUGUGGAUGUUUCUUAAAAAUACCUACCAGGAGACCCUACCCAGACUUCUCAGGUUAGAAUGUAUUGAAGAGGGUCUGGGAAUGUUCCCUACAACAAGUUCCCAGGUAAUCCUUAGGAACAUGUGGCUCUUAUAUCCUCCACCCCUACCCCUUCCUUCAGGAUUCCUUACUCAGAAGUGCUGAAGAUACUUGGUCCUGUAAUCUUUCCAUUGUAUCAUUUGUAAUUGGGUACUUGAGCUUACUACCAGGUAUUGAACAGGAUAAUGAGAAGGACUUCUGGAUCUUGGGGGAAUAGGUAGGCCACAUAAACUUCAGCUCUGUCUGCCUACACCUCUAUCUGCCACAGCCAGACUGAAGCUGGAUGCCCCCCUGCCAAGCCCUCAUCUGUCAGCUGAGAAAAGUUUCUCACCCACGCCGGCCUGGGCUGGCUGUGGGAUUCACUCUCUUAAAUCAUAAAGAGUUUCCCCUGUCACUGUGUGGAAAAUAAUCUUUUCAUUGGACAGAGACAGAUGAGUCUUCCUGAGACCCUGUGCCCUUGAGAAACUGUGCCCUUCUGACCUGGGGGCGUCCAUCCUUCUCCUGUAGGCUGCAGUGGGUCCUGUGAGGACUUGAAGGGCACGAACCCACAUGGAGAUGCUUAUGGGACUUUCCUCAUUUUUUCCUUUCGCUCUGUCUCUUUCAGAAACCUCCUCUUUCGUAUCAUAUGAUUGGCUUUGGCUUUGAGAAAGUUGCGACUAGGAGACCCCAAAUGAGGAUGUCUUGCCAGCUCUUCAUAUUUUGAUGGGCUUUCCCAGCUCUGCCCUUCAGCUGGUCGGAAACCAUGGCCAUGGAAAGCCUCCUUUUUCGUUUGAUACCGACCCUCAAGCCAAACAGAUGGAGACUAUCACUCAAGUUGUUGGAAAUUCAGCAAGGAGUUCAGUGUCCUAAAAUGAGAAGAAGGAUGAAACAGAGAUCUGCCACCCACAGAACCCUACAGGAGGUUUCUUCAUGAGGAAAGAUAGAGUUCUGCAUCUGCUCUGUAUUCAGCCCUGAGAUCCAGCUUCCACAGCCCAAGGCAUGAUAAGAAACAGGUACGCCCCCUAAGCCUACCAAGAACUAAAAGCAGGCGGAGUCAUUUUCAUCAAAAGCCUACUUUUACCUGAAGGAAGUUGGGCAACACCAGUCUAGUGUGGUCUCCUGAAGGAAAAUGCAAGGGUUGGUGACUUACCAUGACAAGGCAAGACACUGUGAUUGAGAAGAAAAACUUCUAACCAAGAAAUGGGUGAACUGAAUUGGAGUUUGAAAUCUGCUACUUCUGAACUCUGUAUCUGAAGUUACUUCUAGAGAUCUAAGAGCAUCCGUAUCAUCUGCAAAUGGAUCAUUACGAUGGAAGGUGUUAAAAUACAGUUGAACAGUCUUCUGGCGAAAAAACAAAUAUUUGGAAGAUAAAGGAAGAAAAGAUAAAUGAGCGGAAAUGUAGGCAGGUCCUGUGGUUCAGUCAAGGAACUGAAACCAAAAAUAACUCGGAGACCCAGGAUAAGCCGAACUGAAUUUGGGGACUUGAAUCCUCAGUCCCACCAGGAGAGGGAUGAACAUAUUUGUACACCGAGGGGAACAGCCAAUGGAGCAUCGGAGCAGAGCAGUGCUCAAGGAAUGUUUACAGCUAAGGAGGCUCCAUGGAGGAUUGCUUGAAGGACAUGAAGUCCAUCUGUCUCCCUAGAUAGUUUAGAUUAUAUCUCAAGGUCAAGAAAGAUCAGACAUACGCCCCGAUUCUGUUUCUGUGGCUCUCCAGUCCCCACCACAAGGGGAGAGAGAGAGUUUCCUUGGGGACUCAGAAGUGACUUCUAUACUCCGGGAGGCUCUUGGAAUGGCUGGCAAGAAACUCAGAACUCAAAGUGGCAGGUUUGAUCUUGAUUUUCACCUGCGAGUGCGUUAUUGGAUCUACCUCAGACUUCAAUUUCUUGGAAGGACUCUUUUUAAGCCACUUGUUUUCCAAAUAAGAGAAUUCAUUGGGCAAAACCAGACAAGGCACUUUGUGGAAGGUGUAAACUUCAGGUAACAUCCUGCACCUGAAACACCCUGCACCUGAAAGAACCAGACGGGGGCGCAACCGUCACCCCUCUGCCCCUGAUGCUCCCCUAAGUACUCCACAGAUAAAAUACUUGGCAUGUGACCACUUUCCUAGGCACCAUGUAAAGGUGCCAGGGUAAAUGAGUACAAUACACAUUGGUAAAGCCGUUCUCUUUUUGGUCAUUACAUUUUCUUUAAUCAUUAAAGGAAGAAGAAAUCGAAUUUCCAAUGUUCUUCCCAAAUCGCAGUGAAUUGUCUUGCUCACUCAACUUUGGAGAACCCUGCCUUAGGCAAAUUAUUUACUGCCUCUCAGUUUCUUCAUCUGUAAAAUGGGGAUAAUAUCGCAUAAGUCACCGGGUUAAGUGGAUAAAUGGCAUAUGUACAGGCCUCUGCAUAGACACUGGUGUGUGAUUUAAAGGAGAAAUAAAAGAUAAUGAUUACUACUGUAUUGCUGUGUGUGCACUCACGUUACUCCUAGCCUAAUUUAAAAAGCAAACAAAGCCUCUUCUCGGUGCUCUUUACGUGAGGGCAAGAGCCAUACCUUCUCACCUCCCACCUAACCUCCCAAAACAAAACAAAACAAAAUAAGACAAAAACCAAAAGCAUAUUAGCCUUUUCAGCUUGGAAGGCGACAGAUUCUGAACACUUGGUGAUCUCGUUCAUUAACAUGAUAAUUACUGAUGGGGAAGGCCUGUUCAAUCCUACCGGACAAUUUUGAUAUAUGAUCUCCCAUCCUGUCAUUCAACCAAGUUUUUUUGUUUUUGUUUUUAAAACAACAUACAACAUACUAGACCUCCGGCUGAGGGCUGAGGUUUCAAAGAUGAAUUGAACUUGCCCUACACCCUCCAGGCACUAACCAUCUAGUGGAGGAUACCAAACAAAUAAUCGCAUCAAAGUGAUAAGUGCUGUAAUGGAGGUAGGUGCUGGUUGCUAUGGGAGCAGGUAGACUAAGCAGCUUCCUUU